UACGUAGGGGGCUAGCGUUGUCCGGAAUCAUUGGGCGUAAAGAGCGUGUAGGCGGCCCGGUAAGUCCGCUGUAAAAGUCAAAGGCUCAACCUUUGAAUGUCAGUGGAUACUGCCGGGCUAGAGUCCGGAAGAGGCGAGUGGAACUCCUGGUGUAGCGGUGGAAUGCGCAGAUAUCAGGAGGAACACCAGCGGCGAAGGCGGCGCUCGUGGGCCGGAACUGACGCUGAGGAGCGAAAGCGUGGGUAGCAAACAGG
rnacentral:rRNA from 1 species